GGGUGGUUGGCGCAAUGGUAGCGCGUUGGUUUUCGGUAGCCUCGAGAGGCCAUAGUUGAUCACCAAAGGUUGAGGGUUCGAGCCCCUUGCUGCUCG